GUAUGUAGGAUAGGUCUGGCAUGGGCCACGACACACAGCCUGGGUCAUUCCUCUCUCAGAACCCCUCUCUCUUCCUCCUCAGGUCUCGCUCUACCGCUGGCAAGUCUGGGCUGUUUGAAUCACUGCUGAGCAUGGCAAUCCCAGAGGUGAUGGUAAGAAGCUCGGCGUGGCCUUCAGAAGCAGGACACCUGUGAAGUGGUGAGCGUCCAGCAUAUCCUCAGGAGCCACUGUAGAUACUGCUGUGCGUCUGCAUCCGGCAGAAGAGCAGGGAUGAGCCAGUCCCUUUGCUCUGCUGUCGUUUGUCUCAGCUAAUAUUGUGGCUGCCUCUCCAGCUUUUGGUAGGGGGUUUUUGCUCUGCUGUGGACCAUCUGAGCUAAGUAAGGAGCCCCCCAGACAAUGGAAAAACCACCCAGCAGUGCCCACCCCAGCGACUGUGGUGACCAACCAGUGGAAGCACCUGUAACGUGCAUUGAAAUGUGAACCUUCUGUGAGACGCACCCAAAUUAGAAGACAAACACAAGGAAUCAUCAUUCACCACAGAGCUUUUCCCAAGUGCUAACCAAAGUGCAAUGCAGGUGGGAACCCACCAAAUGGCAGCACUGCUGGUUGUUCCUCUAGGAACAGGGGUAGCAAAGGGUCACAAGUUCUUCAGGUGUCCCGACCCUGCUUACCCCUGUGCUGGCUAGACCAGCUCUGAGAGAAGAACCACGCUCUGUACUUAGGUGGUUCUCAGGCAGCAAACAAAGGUAAUAAUUAGGAGUGGCUCCAAUGAAAGCAGAGAAUCUGAUCCUCCCCGGCUUUGCACUUUGUGCACUCACGCUUGCACCAGAGGAAUGUAAAAUGCUACACUUAGUACAUGUGACCAGAAUGCGCUGCUCUUCUGUAAUGCCACCUGCAUAUACACUUUGCCAAAAUAAUUCUUAAAACCCCCUUGUGGUAGAGCAGGCUCCAGAAUCAGGAUGCAGGACUGGAGCUGAGCACUCGGCGUGGUUCAGAGGGAACCUUCACUACUGGUUUAUAUGAAGCUGAACUGAUGACCAUGGGGAAGCUCGUCUAUGUCGUUAUUAGACUCUUGAGCUGUGCAGCUCUACAUACAAGGCAAGUCCAAGAAGUGGUUUACAGAGCUGGGAGCGGUUAAGGGAAGGAAAUGGCUCCAUCACGGCCAAAUCCAAGUCUGCUUUCAGACCCCAGGACGGAGAUUUGGCACAGCUUCAGACAGACAGAUGUGACACAAGUACCUUUACUACUACAUCCCAUUACUUAUCUCUGACCAACAAGGAUCAGCAUUUCUUUCUCGGUGCCGUGUACCUAGUUUGCUCUCUGCAGCCUUUUACCUACAAACAGUUUACUGCAGCAGAAGGAAGACCUUUAUAAACUGUAUCUUCUGGACAGCAAAGAUCUCACAGCACCAGGUCCGAUUCACUCUCAGCAUAGAGGACACACACAUGUAACGUGUUCCCAUGGACACCAAAUGGAGGGAAUGUUCAUGCCCAACAUGUGAACUCCAUGGCAGAAAGUGGCCUGCAGCUCCUCUACCCCUAUUGCACAUGUCUAAAAAGUAGGUUCUUUUCCAACACUACUCCUUACACUUUGUCAGAGCAUUUCAGGGAUCUAUUCUUUCCUCACAAACUUGCAUUAAAAUUAGCAGCUGUUGUAUAUGCUUGAGCAAAGACAACAGGUCUCACCAAGAAAAUGCUCUAGAAGAGGACUAAGUAAACUAAAAAUCACAUAACAUUCAACUUACCUUUCUUCUCUUCUCAAAAUUUAUCAGGCCACCCUGUUGGAAGGAAGUAGAAGAGCACAUGCUCAGUUGAAUUUAAUCACAAACAGGAUGAAGUAGCAAGGCUAAUGUAAAGCACAGACCUGCCCUGAGUUAAGGACCUUCCAAAAAUACCUGUCUCCAGAUCUGGUAUAAACCACAGCACUCAUAUAUCCGAGUCUCCAAAGGAUAUCUGACCCCAUGGCCUAAAUGGCAAUGUGCCCAAGAAGAAAAGCCCAGUACAAGAACACUCAUAAAAAAAAAAAAAAGAAAGGGAUGUGUAGGAACAUUACACAGGCCUGAUUUCGUGCAGUUUUGCAAAACAGAAAAACCAAAGAAACCAGCAACCAUUACCAGCACAGGAAGAAUUGUAUUUGCCCAUUCUUAUUAUAAAUACCACCACUAGCACAAUGAAGACUAAUGGCCUGCAGUGUGGCUCCUCCAGUGUCUACAGUAAUGGGGUUAAUUUUCAAAGGUGUUUAAAAACCUUUGAAACACUUUUGAAAAUUGGCCCCACCCUCAGUCUCUGUUAAAGGACCAGACUCUCUUGCAAUCCUUUUCCCCUUCCUAUUCUAGGUUGGUUCCCCCUGCUUGUUCAGCUAAAGAGAAAUGAAAAAACCAAGUCUUUAAUCACUUUAGAGCUCAGAGUCAAUACUGAAGCAACUUCAGUCAUCAGUCUGAAGAGCUGUGUUUGUGAUCCUGUGUAUAUUUACCAAUUAUUCACAGAAAUCCUUACACCUAAAAUGUUGUUUUCAGAAAAAUAAAACAGAGUAAUGCAAAGCCUACUUUCUUCACGUUUUCUAACCUAAGAAGACAAGGCAAAAUGCAAUGCUAAGCUUGUUCCUUGAGAUAACUGCACUCAAGUUCACACAAGAUUCUUGCCAAUAAAACUGUACAUUGCUUCAUUAUUUUCUGAAACCAGAUUCCUCUGUUCUUAAGAACUGCACAAAGACCCAAUAGAAGAUACAGGAACAGACACAGUCAGUACUGGGAAGGCCCGGAAGAUAUUUAGGAUUCAAAAAAUUGCCCCAGAUUACCUCAACAUAGUCCUGAAGAGCUGUGUCAAGCAUGAUGAGAUCAGUGAGGAAGAUACCAAGAUAAGGUACAGUGCCUUGCAUUACUCCCUGCAAAUGA